rnacentral:rRNA from 1 species
UAAAGUGGCGCACGGGUGGGUAACACGUGGGUAACCUACCCCCGAAUCCGGGAUAACCUCGCGAAAGCGUUGCUAAUACCGGAUAUUGUCCUAUUGGUUGUGACCUUUGGGAUGAAAGGCAACCUCUUCAUGAAAGUUGUCGUUCAGGGAUGGGCCCGCGUACCAUUAGCUUGUUGGUGGGGUAACGGCUCACCAAGGCUACGAUGGUUAGCUGGUCUGAGAGGAUGAUCAGCCACACUGGAACUGAAACACGGUCCAGACUCCUACGGGAGGCAGCAGUGAGGAAUUUUGCGCAAUGGGGGAAACCCUGACGCAGCAACGCCGCGUGAGUGAAGAAGGCUUUCGGGUCGUAAAGCUCUGUCAAGUGGGAAAAAAGUCUGAUGAGUAAUAGUUGUCAGAUCUGAUGGUACCACUGGAGGAAGCACCGGCUAACUCCGUGCCAGCAGCCGCGGUAAUACGGAGGGUGCAAGCGUUGUUCGGAAUUACUGGGCGUAAAGGGCGUGCAGGCGGGUUGGUAAGUCAGAUGUGAAAGCCCUGGGCUCAACCCAGGAAGUGCAUUUGAAACUGCCAUCCUAGAGUAUGGGAGAGGAGAGUGGAAUUCCCAAUGUAGAGGUGAAAUUCGUAGAUAUUGGGAGGAACACCCGUGGCGAAGGCGACUCUCUGGACCAAUACUGACGCUGA